rnacentral:rRNA from 1 species
AGAGUUUGAUCCUGGCUCAGAUUGAACGCUGGCGGCAUGCCUUACACAUGCAAGUCGAACGGUAACAGGGAGCUUGCUCCGCUGACGAGUGGCGAACGGGUGAGUAAUAUAUCGGAACGUGCCUGAUAGUGGGGGACAACUAGUCGAAAGAUUAGCUAAUACCGCAUACGCCCUACGGGGGAAAGGGGGGGACUCGCAAGAGCCUCUCGCUAUCAGAGCGGCCGAUAUCUGAUUAGCUAGUUGGUGAGGUAAAGGCUCACCAAGGCGACGAUCUGUAGCUGGUCUGAGAGGACGACCAGCCACACUGGGACUGAGACACGGCCCAGACUCCUACGGGAGGCAGCAGUGGGGAAUUUUGGACAAUGGGGGAAACCCUGAUCCAGCAAUGCCGCGUGUGUGAAGAAGGCCUUCGGGUUGUAAAGCACUUUUGUCCGGAAAGAAAACUUCUGCCCUAAUACGGUGGGAGGAUGACGGUACCGGAAGAAUAAGCACCGGCUAACUACGUGCCAGCAGCCGCGGUAAUACGUAGGGUGCGAGCGUUAAUCGGAAUUACUGGGCGUAAAG